GAUGAACGCUGGCGGCGUGCCUAAUACAUGCAAGUCGAGCGAACGGACGAGAAGCUUGCUUCUCUGAUGUUAGCGGCGGACGGGUGAGUAACACGUGGAUAACCUACCUAUAAGACUGGGAUAACUUCGGGAAACCGGAGCUAAUACCGGAUAAUAUUAUGAACCGCAUGGUUCAAAAGUGAAAGACGGUCUUGCUGUCACUUAUAGAUGGAUCCGCGCUGCAUUAGCUAGUUGGUAAGGUAACGGCUUACCAAGGCAACGAUGCAUAGCCGACCUGAGAGCGUGAUCGGCCACACUGGAACUGAGACACGGUCCAGACUCCUACGGGAGGCAGCAGUAGGGAAGCUUCCGCAAUGGGCGAAAUCCUGACGGAGCAACGCCGCGUGAGUGAUGAAGUUCUUCGGAUCGUAAAACUCGGUUAUUAGGGAAGAACAUAUGUGUAAGUAACUGUGCACAUCGUGACGGUACCUAAUCAGAAAGCCACGGCUAACUACGUU
rnacentral:rRNA from 1 species